rnacentral:misc_RNA from 1 species
GAUGAAGAAGCAGCGAAAUGCGAUAAGUAGUGUGAAUUGCAGAAUUCAGUGAAUCAUCGUAUCUUUGAACGCACAUUGCGCCCCUUGGUAUUCCAUGGGGCAUGCCUGUUCGAGCGUCAUUUGUACCUUCAAGCUCUGCUUGGUGUUGGGUGUUUGUCUCGCCUCUGCGUGUAGACUCGCCUCAAAACAAUUGGCAGCCGGCGUAUUGAUUUCGGAGCGCAGUACAUCUCGCGCUUUGCACUCAUAACGACGACGUCCAAAAGUACAUUUUUACACUCUUGACCUCGGAUCAGGUAGGGAUACCCGCUGAACUUAAGCAUAUCAAUAAGCGGAGGA